rnacentral:sRNA from 1 species
AUCCCAUGUCUGAAAGGAAACACUUGCAAUCUCCUUCCCCAGCGAUUUCUGUUGAAUAAUGCUAUUGGGAAUGGGCGGUUGGCUCCGCUUUUUGAGAUGGCAGCUCCUUAUUUCUUUUCAAUUACCCAUCAAUAAUCAUAUCCUCUUGGCUGACACAGCCAUGCCUACUCCCUCUCCCAUUACCCUUUGAAAUAUGGUUGGUUGUUUGCUUUCAGAUUGAGAAAGUUGUCAACGUCAGAUUCUCCUAUCUAUAUCUGCAGGGGUCAAUUCGCUCGGGGCUUUAUAUACAACACAUGCAUUGGAAAAGGCAGAGUAUUAAGAUCAUUCAUUUUAUUACGACUUUCACAUGUCAUGUCCUUCCUGCCAACUUCAUUAGGAUAGGGAGAAGUCAAUGAUGUGGAUAGA